rnacentral:tRNA from 1 species
ACUCCCUUAGUAUAACAAAUAUAACUGACUUCCAAUCAGUGGAUCCCGAUAAACUUCGGAAGGGAGUA